AACGAACGCUGGCGGCAUGCCUAACACAUGCAAGUCGAACGAGACCUUCGGGUCUAGUGGCGCACGGGUGCGUAACGCGUGGGAACCUGCCCUUAGGUUCGGAAUAACUCCCCGAAAGGGGUGCUAAUACCGGAUAAUGUCUUCGGACCAAAGAUUUAUCGCCUUUGGAUGGGCCCGCGUUGGAUUAGCUAGUUGGUAGGGUAAAAGCCUACCAAGGCGCCGAUCCAUAGCUGGUCUGAGAGGAUGAUCAGCCACACUGGGACUGAGACACGGCCCAGACUCCUACGGGAAGCAGCAGUGGGGAAUAGUGGACAAUGGGCGAAGGCCUGAUCCAGCAAUGCCGCGUGAGUGAUGAAGGCCUUAGGGUUGUAAAGCUCUUUUAACCGGGAUGAUAAUGACAGUACCGAGAGAAUAAGCUCCGGCUAACUCCGUG
rnacentral:rRNA from 1 species